rnacentral:lncRNA from 1 species
GGGGGAGUCCCUGAGGUCACCCUACCCCUCCUGUUUGAGAACUUGGAAACCAAUGAGAUCCCCACCCCUAAACCAUAUAUAUUCAUGUAUGGGACAAUAUAACAAAUAAAAUGAAAUGUAGGGGAAGUCCCUAGGGUCACCCUACCCCCAGUGGCGGAUCCAGAAAUUUUCAUAAGUGGGGCCCACUGACUGACCUAAGAGGGGCCGCUCC